rnacentral:rRNA from 1 species
GAUGAACGCUGGCGGCGUGCCUAAUACAUGCAAGUCGAACGCAUUGUGGUUGAAAUGAUAUGAAGAACUUGUUCAGAUUUGAUUUUCAACAUUGCAAUGAGUGGCGAACGGGUGAGUAACACGUGGGAAACCUACCUCUUAGCAGGGGAUAACAUUUGGAAACAAAUGCUAAUACCGUAUAAUAAUUAAAACCGCAUGGUUUUAGUUUAAAAGAUGGUCUUGCUAUCACUAAGAGAUGGUCCCGCGGUGUAUUAGUUAGUUGGUGAGGUAAUGGCUCACCAAGACAAUGAUACAUAGCCGAGUUGAGAGACUGACCGGCACAAUGGGACUGAGACACGGCCCAUACUCCUACGGGAGGCAGCAGCAGGGAAUCUUCCACAAUGGACGAAAGUACUGAUGGAGC